rnacentral:rRNA from 1 species
GCAAAAAAGCUAGCCUACUCACAACCAUAAGUAUCAACCAUAAAAAACACCCGCCCUCCGCCCAUAAAUAAAACAUUUUCCCCCCUCAGUAUAGGAGAUAGAACAGGACCAAAGAGCAAUAGAAAAAGUACCGCAAGGGAAAGCUGAAAGAGAAAUGAAACAACCCAGUUAAGCAAUAAAAAGCAGAGACCAACACUCGUACCUUUUGCAUCAUGGUUUAGCAAGAAACAGCCGAGCAAAGAGAACUAUAGUUCGACACCCCGAAACCAGGAGAGCUACCCCGAGGCAGCCCAUAGGGGCAAACCCGUCUCUGUGGCAAAAGAGUGGGAAGACCUCUGGGUAGAGGUGAUAGACCUAUCGAGCCUGGUAAUAGCUGGUUGCUUAAGAAAUGAAUAUAAGUUCAGCCCUAUAUUGCUCGUAAACUAUAAUACAUAAAAGAUCUAGCAGGAUAUAGGAGUUAGUCAAAAGGGGUACAGCCCAUUUGAAAAAGAACACAACCUUAAUUAGAAGGGAAAGGACCAUAAAUAACAAGGACCCCUCCUCGGUGGGCCUAAAAGCAGCCACCUGAAAAGAAAGCGUUAAAGCUCAAGAAGAAACAAACCUAACAAUUACUGUUAAUCGAUCCCUACCCCCUAAAGAUAUUAAGCCCCUCUAUAAAAAUAGAGAAGACAAUGCUAAAAUUAGUAAUAGGAGGAAAAACCUCUCCCCGCACAGUCGUAAGUCAGGCAGGAUCACCCACUGGCAAAUAACGGACCUAGAAGAAGGAAACGCAAAACAACUGAAGCAAACAAGAAAAACCUACCACACCCCCACCCGUUACCCCGACACAGGAGUGCAACAAGGAAAGACUAAAAGGAAAAGAAGGAACUCGGCAAACCUAAACCUCGCCUGUUUACCAAAAACAUCGCCUCUUGCUAACAACGAAGUAUUAGAGGUCCCGCCUGCCCUGUGACGAAAGUUUAACGGCCGCGGUAUUUUAACCGCGCGAAGGUAGCGUAAUCACUUGUCUUUUAAAUGGAGACCUGUAUGAAUGGCAUAACGAGGGUUUAACUGUCUCCUUUUCCCAGUCAAUGAAAUUGAUCUGCCCGUGCAGAAGCGGGCCUAAAAACAUAAGACGAGAAGACCCUAUGGAGCUUUAGGCAGACGCCCAAGCGCCCCCAGCCUCUUAAACACACAAUGCUAAGAAGAUGUAAAAUAAGCGCCCCUGAGUGAAGAGCCUUCGGUUGGGGCGACCACGGAGGAAAACAAAGCCUCCAAGAAGAAUGAGGAAAACCCUUAAACUAAGAGAAACAACUCUAAGUAACAGAAUAUCUGACUAUAAUGACCCAGACAAUAACUGAUCAACGAACCAAGUUACCCUAGGGAUAACAGCGCAAUCCUUUCCCAGAGUCCAUAUCGACGAAAGGGCUUACGACCUCGAUGUUGGAUCAGGACAUCCUAAUGGUGCAGCCGCUAUUAAGGGUUCGUUUGUUCAACGAUUAAUAGUCCUACGUGAUCUGAGUUCAGACCGGAGAAAUCCAGGUCGGUUUCUAUCUAUGAAUUAGCUUAUCCCUAGUACGAAAGGACCGGGAUAAGGGGGCCUAUACCAAUAACGCAAGCCCCACCCCCACCCGCUGAGCCCAAAUAAAGCGGAUAAUCGGGAGGACCCCACCGCCAAAGACAAUGGCAU